rnacentral:lncRNA from 1 species
AGGGAUCAGCACAAGCAGCUUGGAUUCAGGUUUCAUUAUCUUGAGUUCUGCACAUCAGAGAGAUGCACGGAUUUCCAGAAAAUGAAACCAUUGGUAUGCUAAAGAAGAGUUCCCACAUUCCAGAAGCAGUGAGGACUAUUCCUCUUUCCUAUAGGGAAUGAAGCCCACGAUGCCUUCACCUGUGCUUCCAAGCAGAAGGUGCUGCCUGGGGACUGUGCUGUGGCUCUGAUGUUGGGGGACUCUGCACUGAGGGACAGAAAGUGGGAUCCAUCUCUGCUGGGCAGCAUAACAUUAAAUGUUUAUUCUGGAUCCAUCAGAAUUAAAACUUGCACAGAUCUGUCUGGCUUGACCUCAUCUCACAUGGAAGAGCUCCACGUGGGCUGAACUUUAGUCUGUUUGUGACAAAACUGACAUUUCAUGGACAGUUCUCAGCUGUCUCCAUGGCACACUUGUCUGUUAUG